CAGAUUUGAAUGAUAUUAGGAGCACAGCUUGGCUCUGGCCGAGUGACAGUUGCGUGGGGCUUCUUUGUUUGAAUGCAAGCAUUGAAGAACAUAGGCAGUUGCGCGAGCGAUCGGGGUGCAAGCACUCCCCGGACGUCUCCGCAGCUGGUACAGCGGUCAAAAUCCAUGAAGACGGAGCAUAGAUAGCUAACCCCUCUCGUCGUGUCGGAAAACAAAACAUCCUGCGCGGCUCUAGAUAGCCCGGGAGUCCUCGGCCUUACGGAGGGACGCUUUGCUCUCGAGAGGUCAGCUGCGUACCUGGGGUUAAACGCCCAAGCCUUUAUGCCAGCGCACGCGGAGCGUGGGGGGUCAAACCCCCGAAAAGAACCCCAACUGGGGCACGGAGAGAACCAGGCAAAGAAGUGCACGACACGUGGGUAGAAAAGGCGCCGUCGCUCUGCGGCUCGCCUUCCACGGGGCUCCUUGCGAUCACCUUCCAUACAGGCGUAACCUGCCGGCGGAGUUGGUUUGGAUCUUCGGAUCAGGUGAGCGCUUGUUGAAUAGACCUAGUCGAGAAGCUUUGUACUGCCAGUCCCCGUGCCUGAGAGGGACGCUCGCCAAAUUGAUUGCCGUGCGCAGGCGAUCACAUAUCCCCCCCUUCACCGUCCAAGAACUUGCUGUUCGUAACACUCCGAGCCUGGCCUGUCGAGCGGGUAACCGUGCGGCGGAUCGGGCCUCGGGAUCCUAUAACCAACUCCCGGACCCUUGACUAUGAGUACUCACGUUUCCUCGGCGGGUCCGCCCGCCAACGGGGACAACACAAACUCUUUUUGCAGUGGCAGUGUCUGUCUGAAACAAACAAAUUUUAUUA
rnacentral:misc_RNA from 1 species